UGCAACAACAGCACUUCAUGAGGAGAGACGUGUUUCAGCUCUUUCAUCAAAGGAAUAUCUGUUUGAUAUAUAUAGUGGUCUUCCCUGCUCCAUUCAGGUCGUUUCCCAGCAUCCCCACAGCAUAGACAUCAACAGGUGUACAGAGGAAGCUUAGAAUCUUCAUAUGGUGUCAUCUUCAUACUAAGCAGGAGAAACUACAUUGGAAAAGUUAUUUUAACCACUGAGACACACAAAUUCAGCACUCUGGGCUGAGCUGGAUUUACUGAUUACUGCUCUGUAAGCUGAAUUUCUUCAUUUCUUAUUUCAGCCUGUUGUACCAGAGUUUCAUCAGGAAAGUUGUCUGCACUUCACAGUUUGCUCUGAAGAAGUGGAAGUAUGAGUUAUAAUUCUGGAGGUUCCAGUAACAGCUCUUUAUCAGGCAAGAUGAAUGGUGUUUUCAAACCUAGUGCUAAAUCCAUCUACGG